rnacentral:rRNA from 1 species
UACGUAGGGUGCGAGCGUUAAUCGGAAUUACUGGGCGUAAAGCGUGCGCAGGCGGUUCGUUAAGUCAGAUGUGAAAGCCCCGGGCUCAACCUGGGAACUGCAUUUGAAACUGGCGGGCUUGAGUGUGGCAGAGGGGGGUGGAAUUCCGCGUGUAGCAGUGAAAUGCGUAGAGAUGCGGAGGAACACCGAUGGCGAAGGCAGCCCCCUGGGCCAACACUGACGCUCAGGCACGAAGGCCAGGGGAGCAAACGGG